CCUACGGGUGGCAGCAGUGGGGGAUAUUGCACAAUGGGGGGAACCCUGAUGCAGCGACGCCGCGUGGGUGAAGAAGCGCCUCGGCGCGUAAAGCCCUGUCAGCAGGGAAGAAAAUGACAGUACCUGAAGAAGAAGCCCCGGCUAACUACGUGCCAGCAGCCGCGGUAAUACGUAGGGGGCAAGCGUUAUCCGGAUGUACUGGGUGUAGAGGGGGCGCAGACGGCGAUGCAAGCCAUGAGGGAAAGCCCCGGGCCCAACCCCGGGACUGCGCUUGGAAGUGCGGGGCUGGAGGGCAGGAGUGGCAGGCGGAAUUCCUGGUGUAGCGGUGAAAUGCGUAGAUAUCAGGAGGAACACCGGUGGCGAAGGCGGCCUGCUGGACUGCAACUGACGUUGAGGCCCGAAAGCGUGGGGAGCAAACAGGAGUAGAUACCCGUGUAGUG
rnacentral:rRNA from 1 species